rnacentral:misc_RNA from 1 species
AACGCACAUUGCGCCCCCUGGUAUUCCGGGGGGCAUGCCUGUUCGAGCGUCAUUACAACCCUCAAGCUCUGCUUGGUAUUGGGCUUCGUCGGUCCCCGGCGUGCCUCAAAGCUAUCGGCGGUGGUGCCUUUCUCUAAGCGUGGUAAAUUCUAUUCGCUUGUGAGUCGGGCUUCGCCUGCCGGACAAACCGGGCCUCGGCCCACUUUCUCAGGUUGACCUCGGAUCAGGUAGGGAUACCCGCUGAACUUAA